rnacentral:rRNA from 1 species
ACGCUGGCGGCGUGCCUAACACAUGCAAGUCGAGCGGAGAUGAUGUGAGGAAGUUUUCGGAUGGAAUCACAUUAUUUUAGCGGCGGACGGGUGAGUAACGCGUGAGCGACCAACCUUGCACAGGGGGAUAACGGACCGAAAGGUUCACUAAUACCGCAUGAGACCACGGUGUUGCAUGACACAGGGGUCAAAGGAGCAAUCCGGUGCAAGACGGGCUCGCGUCCGACUAGGUAGUUGGUGGGGUAAUGGCCCACCAAGCCUAUGAUCGGUAGCCGACCUGAGAGGGUGAUCGGCCACAUUGGAACUGAGAUACGGUCCAAACUCCUACGGGAGGCAGCAGUGGGGAAUAUUGGGCCAAUGGGGGAAACCCUGACCCAGCAACGCCGCGUGAAGGAAGAAGGUUUUCGGAUUGUAAACUUCUGUCCUUGGUGAAGAGAAGAAGACGGUAGCCAAGGAGGAAGCCCCGGCUAACUACGUGCCAGCCGCCGC